rnacentral:rRNA from 1 species
UACGUAGGGGGGCAAGCGUUGUCCGGAUUUAUUGGGCGUAAAGAGCGUGUAGGCGGCUUUACAGGUCCGUUGUGAAAACUCGAGGCUCAACCUCGAGACGCCGGUGGAAACCGUAAAGCUAGAGUCCGGAAGAGGAGAGUGGAAUUCCUGGUGUAGCGGUGAAAUGCGCAGAUAUCAGGAAGAACACCCGUGGCGAAGGCGGGUCUCUGGACG